AUAGCUUAAGUGACUAAAGUGGAGGGAUUUAAAAGGCAAUUAGGCCCAAAUUAUAUGGGCUGGACGGUUGGGUAAGAAAAAUCAGCAGAAUGUAAGGAGAAACAGGGGCAAAAUUGGAAACUUAACAAAUUAAACAUUUAAAACAAAGACAAAAGUGAAAAAUCUAGAGAUCUCUUCACAAUUUAUCAGCAAAAACGCCAUAGGAGGUCUGGAAUAAGCUGGUUUUUCAUAUUUUUGAAUCAUAUCGAGAACCCGAAACAAGUCGAGGAAAAGAAAAAGUAGCCGAUUAGUCCCUGAACUUUUACAAAUUCUGCAAAUCGAUCCAGAUUAACGUAUUUAUACAUUCGGAGGAUCGGAUCUACAUCAAGAAUCACACUAUCCAGAUAUACUCCGGUAGUUUAUGUUAAGCAACUUUUUGGAUUUAUAUGGCAUGUAUAGGGAAUUGAAGUAAAAGUAAAUUUGAAUGUU